rnacentral:lncRNA from 7 species
GACUAUCAAUGGAGGAUCUCAGCUGUGCCCUUUCUUUGCAGAGGUGGUCUAUUCAUAAGACUUCCUCCUGAGAUGCACUGCGAGAUGAAAGUACUCAAGGAGUGGUGGCAAAGAGGGGAGACAUCUGUAUUCCAUAAAUAUAAGCAUAUUAUGUUAUGUAUCAAAGAGAAUCGACUGAGGCAUCAAGGCGAGGAAUUGAAGAUAACUGAAAAAGCUGAUUCCUGGAUAGGAAGCAUUCUCUGACAGCUGGAAGAGACCUCACCUAAGUCAGGGGAUCUUGGAACAAGCUGUGCUCUUACGGCCAAGGGAAGAGGGAAAAUCUGCUGCAAGUUUCUCCUGUGCAUCUUGCAGCCAUGUUCUCAGAAAAGGUAUCAGCCACCUGGACUUGUGGACUAUCAGCCACUUGAACUUUCCUUUCAUUGCAGUUUUUCUUGAUAGAAGGCCUGAAAGCUGCAAGAUAGGGAAUCUGUCUCCAAUCUCUGCUCCCUCACAUGUUUUCUCCUUCUUCUUUUCUACCCUGUCUUCAAAACCUUUGCCUUCCAGGAGGGGUACCUCCUGUAAUGAUGUGUUAGGAGGAAGAGAGAGAGUUUUGUUGGAUCUUGAGGAGUGCAGGGCAGAAGAUUACUUCUACUUCUGUUCUUUUUGCAUCAGUCUAAUUGCAGGGCAAGUCUCCCUCAAAGAAACAACCAAAGGGCUCCAUGCAUUGUGUUUGCAGCUCUACUCUCAUGAGUAGUUCAGCUGUACACAUGUAAGUGCUCACAGGAUCAAGCAUGAUAAAGACAAAAAGCAGACAAAGCAAAGGAGAGCAAGUUAGACAUACAAGUGCAGUGGUCAGGGUGAUGAUAGGCACACAUGUUGUUAGUUCCUCUCCCCCUCCCUCCUGCCAGCCCCUGAAACAAGCAACAUAUGAUAGGAGGAGGAGAAGGGUGAAAAUCUGAAUCCAUGCUUGGAAGAAAAACACCCAUCUGUAAAAGAUUCAUAUUUCAUAGGUCUUGCUUGUGCUUCAGCCUCCUAAUUUAGGAAGGGAGAAGCCUUUCUUUUGUCAAGCAGAGGUGCUCCAAGGUCUUCAGUGCACGUAGUGAGGAUGGAAAAGUAAUGAUGCCUACAUUUGAAUUUUAUGAGGCAGCUUGACUUUCUGAUAGGUGUUUUUCAGGUUUGGAGCAAAGGUAAAUACGUUUUCAAUUUCCAGUGAAAAUGAACUCCGAAAAAGAUCAGUUUUAGUCAAUUUUCAUUUCACAAUUUUUAUUUAACAAUUUUAUUUUACUUUCUACACUCACCUGUAAAGCUAUCCAGAACUGUAUUAUUGACAUGCUAUGUCGGGUGUAAUCUCAUUGAAAUCUUCCAUUUUUAAUAUAUUUUGUUAUUCCUAAAGGAUACUACUAUUCACUACUGGUUAAAAAAAAAAUCUUCAUCUCCUUUCCUAGAUCAAACUCUCUCUUGUUUUGUAACGAAACAGUAUGAGAACACGUGCUUGACUUCACAAAGAAGCCUGUAAAGGCUAUAGAUAUGGUACAUACUUCUGUAGAGUGAGAGAACAUUUAAAUUUUAAUAGCUUUAUUUUGAAACAAGGCUUCAAGCACAGAUGUAAAUAAUUCAGCGCUUGAAGGCCUCCAAUGCGCUGCUAAUUGUUCGUAGUGUGCCUAGAGUUGUAUAGGUAGACAGGAAGGCAGAUGUUAAGCAGCUCUACCCAUGGCGAUGUCGCCACAAGGCUGUAUGGUGGUAGGUGAGUCAUGGAAAUUCCCUGUCUUCUUGUUUGUUGAAUGAGGAUGAGCUAUCCAUUUCCCUGGAAUGCUGUGAUCCUCAAAUAACGGAUGAUGUGAACAUCUCUGUUGAAAUACCGCAUCAUUAAUUUUCUCCUGCUCUUUUGCCAACGUUUGAAGACAAUUAGAUCUAUGAUGGUUCAGACUUUAAAGCUACUAGCGGUACUACAAUAACUGUUUUCAAUUUUUAAAAGAUUUGAUUUCCUACCUUCUUGGGAAACUUUUGCCACUUAAGCCUCAAAUGCAUUCUUACAGAAAUGGUAGCUUAUGUUUCCUGUGCUGUGCCUCUCUAAAUAAUGAUGUACAGUAGUCAGUAAUUAAUUCAGACACAAGCAUAGUCCAUCCCUUUGUAUUUUGGAAACAGGCUCAUGUCACAGAUAUGCUGUGAUAUGUUGACCUUGAAUCUUUACUACUCUGUAACUCAGGCAAUAUCACCUUGCUUUGAUACCCUUCUGAAAAAAGCAAAAUU